GCGGUGGCAUGUGAGAGGACAAGCAGGCGUGGGGCUAUUUAUGGUCGUCUGAUCAUUGUACUUUGGGACAUUGUACUUUUAGGACGUAAUGUGCACUUUUGGUUGUUAUUUUAAAUUUCCCAUGUCUUCAUAUGUCUUUCAAAUUCUUGACAUCUGCACUAAUAGCCUAAACCUCCAUGGCAUGAUCCAUCGGAGUAUUUUGUUUGUUGUACGAUUUUCAAGUGCGACCUUCCAAUUUAUGUUGUAACUGAUAGGUUUGGCACCUCGGAUAAGUUCUUGAAAUACCAAUGUCAUAUUUGGAUUAGAAAAAUAAGAUUUAGUUCGAUCAUGCAUGCAAUUGCAAUAACCCUACUCUGAGCUUUUAUAUACUGGUUAAAAUAGUUAAAUCUUCUAGAUUCUUUUGCAUAUUUUCUUGGAAUUAUAUUGGUCUAUGAGAGCACCUUAGUUUUCACUAAGCGAUAAAAUACAGUUUCUAUUUCCGUAAUACAGGUCAUUAGUGGUCACUUGGGAUGGGUGUGAUCUGUAGCAUUUGAUCCAGGGAACAGAUGGUUUUGUCUUGGUUCCGCUGAUAGGGCAAUAACGGCAAGGAAGAAGGUUGUAGAGUGCGGAUGGAUGUGAAAAGGAAGAGGAUGGAUGCGAGAAGAGAGAAGAGGGGUGAAAGAGGAUAUGGCUAGAAAGACGGAGAAGGACAGGGUGGAGGCGCUUCUUGAGGAUUUUUGUCUGACUGAUUUCAUACUCUCUUAUAAAUCAUGGUUAGCUAGGUAAACCUUUUGUACAACAGCUCUUGUUCAAAAGGAAGUUUCAUCUUUCGGCUUCUUAUUUUAGGUCAAUAUCAAGUACAGUUUAGUUAAUUUAUAUUGAUGUUUAUGUUUGAAAAUGACUAUUACCAUUCUGGUUGAAUGGGGGCAUGGAUAGAAGAGAUUGUGAGUCGGGUAUGGUGAUGCCAA